rnacentral:rRNA from 1 species
UACGGGAGGCAGCAGUGGGGAAUAUUGCACAAUGGGCGCAAGCCUGAUGCAGCCAUGCCGCGUGUAUGAAAAAGGCCUUCGGGUUGUAAAGUACUUUCAGUCGUGAGGAAGGUGUUAAGGUUAAUAACCUUAGCAAUUGACGUUAGCGACAGAAGAAGCACCGGCUAACUCCGUGCCAGCAGCCGCGGUAAUACGGAGGGUGCGAGCGUUAAUCGGAAUUACUGGGCGUAAAGGGCACGCAGGCGGUUAAUUAAGUUGGAUGUGAAAUCCCCGGGCUUAACCUGGGAAUGGCAUUCAAGACUGGUUAGCUAGAGUCUUGUAGAGGGGGUAGAAUUCCAUGUGUAGCGGUGAAAUGCGUAGAGAUGUGGAGGAAUACCGGUGGCGAAGGCGGCCCCUGGACAAAGGCUGACGCUCGAUGUGCGAAAGCGUGGGGAGCAAACAGGGAUUAGAUACC